rnacentral:rRNA from 1 species
GACGAACGCUGGCGGCGUGCUUAACACAUGCAAGUCGAACGGAAAGGCCCUGCUUUUGUGGGGUGCUCGAGUGGCGAAGGGGUGAGUAACACGUGAGUAACCUGCCCUUGACUUUGGGAUAACUUCAGGAAACUGGGGCUAAUACCGGAUAGGAGCUCCUGCUGCAUGGGGGGGGUUGGAAAGUUUCGGCGGUUGGGGAUGGACUGGCGGCUUAUCAGCUUGUUGGUGGGGUAGUGGCUUACCAAGGCUUUGACGGGUAGCCGGCCUGAGAGGGGAGCCGGGGACCAUAGUACUAAGGGAGGGACCAGAAGCCAACGGGAGGCAGUGGGGGGAAGUAUUACACAAUGGGCGGGAGCCUGAGACGGCAACGCCCCGUGCGGGAUGACGGCCUUCGGGUUGAAAACCGCUUUCGCCUGUGACGAAGCGUGAGUGACGGUAAUGGGUAAAGAAGCACCGGCUAACUACGUG